rnacentral:rRNA from 1 species
UCCGUAGGUGGAUAAUUAAGUGAGAGGUGAAAUCCUGCAGCUCAACUGUAGAAUUGCCUUUGAUACUGGUUAUCUUGAGUCAUUAUGAAGUGGUUAGAAUGUGUAGUGUAGCGGUGAAAUGCAUAGAUAUUACACAGAAUACCGAUUGCGAAGGCAGAUCACUAAUAAUGUACUGACACUGAGGGACGAAAGCGUGGGGAGCGAACAGGAUUAGAUACCCUGGUAGUCC